GUAGGGAAUAUUGCGCAAUGGACGAAACCCUGACGCAGCAAUACCGCGUGAGUGAAGAAGGUUUUCGGAUCGUAAAACUCUUUUAUUGGGGAAGAAGAAGUGACGGUACCCAAUGAAGAAGUCCCGGCUAACUACGUGCCAGCAGCCGCGGUAAUACGUAGGGGACAAGCGUUGUCCGGAAUCACUGGGCGUAAAGGGCGCGUAGGCGGUUUUAUAAGUCAGAUGUGAAAGGUACCGGCUCAACCGGUGACGUGCAUUUGAAACUGUAAGACUUGAGUACUGGAGAGGCAAGUGGAAUUCCUAGUGUAGCGGUGAAAUGCGUAGAUAUUAGGAGGAACACCGGUGGCGAAGGCGGCUUGCUGGACAGAUACUGACGCUGAGGUGCGAAAGCGUGGGGAGCGAACAGGAUUAGAUACCCGUGUAGUCC
rnacentral:rRNA from 1 species